ACAUAACAUCUUGUAGGUCUUCCAGUCAGGUUUCAAGAUGAUGCAUAGCACGGAGUCAGCCCUGUUACGUGUUUCUAAUGACAUCCUCCUGGCAAAUGACUCUGGAGACCACGUGUGUCUAGUUUUAUUGGACUUAACUGCAGCAUUUGAUACAGUGGAUCACAGUAUUCUGCUGACUCGUUUGCAGCACUUGGUGGGCAUUGGCGGCAGUGCUCUUGAGUGGUUUAGGUCCUAUCUAGCUGACAGGACCUUUUGUGUCAGCCUUGGCUGCUCUGAGUCACGCACUGCUCCCCUGUCAUGUGGUGUUCCACAGGGCUCAAUUCUGGGGCCUCUGCUGUUCUCGCUGUAUCUGCUCCCAUUGGGUUCCAUCUUAAGGAAACAUGGUAUUCCCUUCCACUGCUAUGCAGAUGACUGCCAGAUCUAUGU